GAAAGAGUCAGCCCGACUGGGGGUGUCCUGCGGUACGUGCUGUGGAGAGGGGCUUCGCGGAAUCGGGCCCCUAACGGGUGGGACCCCGAGGCCGCGGGUGGGGGAUGGUGGGGAAGAGGUUUUCCAGGAGAGAGUCCCUGGCUGAGUGAGCACUGUCGAGCACACGCGAGGCCGUGGGUGGGGAGGCAGCAAGGAGGUGAAGGCGGGGGUCCCAGUGGGCGGGAGAGGCUUGCUGUCGGUACUGGGAGGUGGGGUGUUUCCUAGACCCUGCAGGGGCUGAGGCAGGGUUGACAUCGUGAGAAGGAGACAGGAGAGGGUGGAAGGGUGUCCUGUGCCCGCUGUUGCUCACAGGGGAGAGGAGGGGCUGCUGCAGGAGGCCCUCCCCUAGGGUCGGCAGGGGGAUGGAGGAGGAGCUGCCCGGUGGGGACUCAGGAAGCAGCACAGCCCACAGCUAGGGCCAGGGGCUGAGGGGCAGGACUGGACCCUGGGGGCAGGGUGAGGGGUUCUGGGGUCAGCCCAAAAUUGGCCCACAGGCCCAGCCUGUCCGUCACUCCUGAACAAAUCUGCUUCUCUGGAGGAGCAGAAGGAGAGUUGGGUGCGGGAUAGAGGUGAGAAGAGUGCUUGGACACACAGGCUGUGGGGUCCCCAAGAUGGUCUCACGGGUCUCUGGGAUGAGAUGCGGCUACCAAGACCCUACGUGCAGCCAGGAGACUGACCAGGCCGCUUUAAGGCUGGAAGAGACAUGGCCCUGCCAGCAUCCACCUGACAGUCCUGAGGACUGUGUGACUGGGCUCAGUCUUGACCUUCACGGGAGACCACACAGCCUGGUACACAGCAGGGGCUAUGCAGUUCUGGGUCACUUGACAGCCACUCCAGACGAGGCCGCAAGCACUGGACAUGGGGUUUUCCAGCCUUCUGGGGUGGAGCCAUCUUUCUUAGGCCAGGAUUAGUCCCUCCCCACACAGUGCCUCUGCUUGUGCUAGUGGCCUGGUGACCUCCCUUAUGCCAUCCGACGUCACCCCAACCUGCUGUUCAAACUUUAUUGUUAGAAAUUAUUUAUUUCCGGCCGGGUGUGAGCCACCAUGACCCACCUCAUGCACGCUGCUUUUCUAAUUUAGUGUCUUAUAAUUGUGGAGCUAUGUCUUGUGAAAAGGUAUUUCCAACAAGAUUCUCUGAGAUAGUUUUCCCAUGUGCUUUCAGUGCCUCAGGGGUGGGGUAGUCCAUAGGAGCCCCUGUUACCCAUUCAGGAGUGGGUGAGGGGAGACCCCAGGGACCAAUGCCAGCAGGAAGAGGUGGGGUGGUUGGGAGGAUGGAGAUUGCACAUGCUUGGGGACAGCUUGGAGGUGCGUGUUAGAAUUUUUCUGAGAGGGGUUAAGGUGCUGUUUUGUGAAGCACAACGAGUUAGUGAGUGCUAAAUCUCCAUGACCCCUGCCGUCUAUAUGGCUUGGAUACGUCAUGUCAACCUGACAUAAAGCCAUGGGUGAACAUUCUCUGGGACCCCACCUGUGUGUGGGGAAAAGCAAGAGAGAUCAGAUUGUUACUGUGUCUGUAUAGAAAGAAGUAGACAUAGGAGACUCCAUUUUGUUCUGUACUAAGAAAAAUUCUUCUGCCUUGAGAUUCUGUUAAUCUAUGACCUUAUCCCCAACCCCGUGCUCUCUGAAACAUGCGCUGUGUCAACUCAGGGUGAAAUGGAUUAAGGGUUGUGCAGGAUGUGCUUUGUUAAACAAAUGCUUGAAGGCAGCAUGCUCCUUAAGAGUCAUCACCACUCCCUAAUCUCAAGUACCCAGGG
rnacentral:lncRNA from 1 species